rnacentral:lncRNA from 10 species
GCAGAUCAAGAGCAUCUCAUCCUCCGGCUGCUGAGUCAUCCUGCUCUGGCAGUUAUUUAAACAGAAGGCUCCAGGAGACAUACAAUCAACACUCCACUCAGACAAUGCCCAGACCUCCAGAAACCAUGUGUCAAGCUCGGAUUGCCUUAGACAGGUGCAAUUUAAGAACAGCUUUCAUCCUCUUUUCUCUCAUAUUGUCACACUAUGUGUUCUGACUUCUGGCUCCUUUCCUCACAAGAAGCUCACCCAGCUGGAACUCUUAUGGGACCUUGGCACCAGAGACCACAAAUUCCUCUUUGAAGUUUUCUAACAGCAACAAUGGUAUUUCUGACUUGGCUUUCUUGUAUUUCUCUCACGUUAACAAAAUUGGUUCAGCAUCUACCAUGGGCUACAUGCUGAGCUACAGAGUUUCGCUCUGUCGCCCAGGCUGGAGUGCAGUGGCGCGCGAUCUCGGUUCACUGCAAGCUCCACCUCCCGGGUUCACGCCAUUCUCCUGCCUCAGCCUCCUGAGUAGCUGGGACUACAGGCGCCCGCCACCACACCCAGGAAUCCAACUUGCUGUUUGCUAUCACAUGUGCUAUACAUGCUGUUGAUGAAACUGCUAAAGGGGCUGAAUGUGACUGACGUCUUUGGAAGGAUGAGACUUAGCGUGCCUGUACAGUUGUGUCCAAAUGCUGUCCUCAUCUCCCAAUGAAAAGGGUUUUUCCUUAAGCCUCACAACAAUUUACAGCAUUGCCAGCAGCAUUCAGUACAUUCAGAACAGGAUAAUUUCACCCGCAGCUGAACUAGGGCCAUGCCUGGGACAGACAGAGAAUGGCCUUCCAGCAGACAUGCCAAGAAGCAAGCCAGGGUCAGUGAGUGAAGAGGAGGGCAGGCCCAUUUGAAGCAACACAGUUUAUAUACAUGAAAAGAAAGAAGGAGAGAAGGAAGAAAGGAGGGCGGAAGGAAAGGAAGAAGGGAGAGAAGAAGAGAAGAAAGAAGCAGAGAAAGGAAGAGAAAAGAAAUUACGGCCAGUGCGGUGGCUCACGCCUGUAAUCCUAGCACUUUGGGAGGCCUAAGCGGGCUGAUCACCUGAGGUCAGGAGUUCGUAAGCCAGCCUGGCCAACAUGGUGAAACCCUAUCUCUACUAAAAAUACAAAAAUCAGCAGGGCAUGGUGGUGCGUGCCUGUAAUCCCAGCUACCUGGGAGGCUGAGGUAGGAGAAUCGCUGGAACCCGAGAGGCGGAGGCUGCAGUGAGUUGAGAUCAUGUCACUGCACUCCAGGCUGGGCAACAGAGUGAGACUCUGUCUCAGAAAAAAAAAAAAAGAAAGAAAGAAAGAAAGAAAGUUACCAUUAGUUUUUUGUUGUAUUUGCAAGCAAAGACAAAAGCACCAAGGUACUUGUUUCCUUCUGUAAUUAGAGUUUCAAAUAGACUAAAAGUUUCUGCUCUUAGGUGGGUCUAGAGACUCUCCAGUACCUCAGGACCUCAGGACACAUGGGGUCUCUUGGUUGUUUUCUUUUCAUUGUUGUUGUUUAUUUUAUUUUUGUUUUUAUUUUUUAACUUUAAAACAAUUUUUUGUAGAUGAAUAUGCUUACAUAUGUUUGGGGGUUUUUUUGAGACAGGGUCUUGCUCUGUUGCCCAGGCUGGAGAGCGGUGGUUUAACCACAGCUCACUGCAGCCUCGACCUCCCAAGGUAGGGACUGCAGGUGUGUACACUGGGGUGCACCACCACACCCAGCUAAUUUUUAAAUUUUUUUUUGUAGAUAUUGUCUCACUCUGUUGGCCAGACUGGUCUUGAAAUCCUGGGCUCGAGCAAUUCUCCUGCCUCGGCCUCGUAACGCGUUAGGAUUACAAGCGUGAACACCGCACCUGGCCAGCAUGUGGUCUCUUAACCAGAGGAGGCCUCUUCUGAACUAGGUAGAGGUCCUGAGAAUUGAUUCUGAGAGUAAAAGGCUCUUUGUUCUCCUCAGAGUAGAUUAGAAUCCCUAAUGAUAGAGCAUCUAUUAUUCCUCUAGUGGUCCAUGCCCAACAGAUUCAUCCAAGAAUAGAUGAAGAUCUUUGUAAUGUUGUGCAAGUAAUCUAAUCACCCCACAGAAGAGCUGUGACUUAAAUUAUCCCAGAGUCGGCCCACCUGUUUUCAUAAAGAUCAAUGUAACUUGUAAAUUUCUUCAGUUCUCCUCACCUAUCAUCAUUUGACUAACAAAACCCAGAAAACUAGGCUAGUUAUGGUGGCCUAUGCAUAUAAUCCCAACUCUUUGAGAGGCCAGGGUGGGUGGAUUGCUUGAGUCCAGGAAUUCGAGACCAGCCUGGGCAACAAAGGGAGACCCUGCCUAUAUCCCAGCUAUGCAGGAGGCGAGGCCAGAGGAUUGCCUGAGCCUCAGAGGUUGAGGCUGUAGUGAGCCAUGAUUGCCCCACUACACUCCAGCCUGGAUGACAGAGUGAGACCCUGCCUUAAAAAUAAUAAUAAUAGUAAUAAUAUUUCAUAAAGAUACAGGAAACUAGAUUAUAAUUGACAUUUUCAAAGUGAAAUACUGUCUAGAAUGGUGCUUGGCCAACAGUAAGCUUUUUGUAAGUGGAAGUCAUUACUACUACUAUUUCUUUCAUUAUUAUUACCAUUACUACUUUUUUUUACAAAAAAAAAACCCUGGACAACACACUGAAACCAUUACUACUUCUACUACUAUAACUUAGGUUGCACCUGAUAGAGCCAGCAAUUUUUCCAAGGUAUGACAAUGGCCAUAUGUUUAAUGAUAUAAUUCUAUGGCUCAGUGUAUCUCAGCCUUUUUAAACCCUGCUCUUCUUUUGACAAUUGUAAAAAUCUUAAACUGACCUCCAGUUGAAAUCCUCUGUCAAGAAGAUAUUGUCGGCCAGGGGCGGUGGCUCACACCUGUAAUCCCAGCACUUUUGGAGGCCGAGGUGGGAGGAUCACUUGAGGUUAGGAGUUCAAGACCAGCCUGGCCAACAUAGUGAAACCCCAUCUCUACUAAAAAUACAAAAAUUAGGCAGGCAUGGUGGUGUGUGCCUGUAAUCCCAGCUACUCAGGAGGCUGAGGUAGGAGAAUUGCUUGAACCUGGCAGGGCAGAGGUUGCAGCAAGCCGAGAUCACGCCACUGCUCUCCAGCCUGGGUGAGACUGUCUCAAAAAAAAAAAAAAAAAAGAAAGAAAGUAAGAAAAAGAAGAAAUCCCAAUCUCUUCUUUUAUGUGGAUUCUUCCUCACUUGAAUAAUACUUUUCUUCCCCAGUAUUCUCCAUAUUAUCCCAGAGUCAGCCCCUCUGUUUUUGUAAAGAUCUACGUAACCUCCUCUAAGUUUCCCAGUUCUCCUCACCUAUCAUAUCAUUUGGCUCAACAAAGGGCAGGAAGCUAGAUUCUAAUUGAUAUUUUGAGGCCGGGAGCAGUGGCUCAUGCCUGUAAUCACAGCACUUUGGGAGGCUGAGGCGGGCAGAUCACUGGAGGUCAGGAGUUCGAGACCAGCCUGGCCAAUAUGGUGAAACCUCGUCUCUACUAAAAAUACAAAAAAUUAGCCAGGCUUGGUGGCUUGUACCUGUAAUCCCAGCUACUCAGGAGGCUGAGGCAGGAGAAUAGCUUAAACCUGGGAGGAAGAGGUUGCAGUGAGCCGAGAUUGCUCAAUUGCACCCCAGCCUGGGUGACAGAGCAAAACUCCAUCUCAAAAACAAACAAACGAACAAACCUGAUAUUUUCAAAAUUGAGGCAAUUAUAACAGCUAUUUAGCCAAGCAUUAUGAUAGCAAUAAUAGCAAGAAAAUAAAUUAGUUAACAAAUGAGUCUCAGAAGCCCAAUGAUUUUUAUUUUAUUUUUAUUUUUUGAACUUUUAUUUUAGAAUCAGGGGAUACAUGUGCAGGUUUGUUACCCGGGUAUAUUGCAUGAUGCUGAGUUUUGGAGUAUGCAUGAAUCCAACCUGUCAUCCAGGUAGUGAGUAUAGUACCCAACAGAUAGUUUUUUUAACAUUUACUUCACUCCCUUCCCCAAUCUUGUAUUCCCCUGUGUCUACUGUUCCCAUUUUUAUGACUGUGCCAACAAUAAUUUUUUUUCUUUUUUCUUUAAAUAGAGAUGGGGGUCUCUAUUUAAAGAGCCUCCCAAAGUGCUAGGAUUACAGGUGUGAUCCAUUGCACCUGGCCCAUGCCAACAAUAUUUGAAACCCUUAUCUGCGUGUACAAGUUUGCUACUGGUUUUGUUUUGCUCAUUAAUACAUCCCAAGCAUCUAUACCUGGCUUGUAGUACCAGCAUGUAGUAGGUGCUUAAUAAAUAUUUAUUGAAUAAAUAAAUUAGUUUGACAUUAGUUUAACAUCUCAAGUAAAACAAAAUACCAUUCAAUUAAUUCUCUUCUUCUACUUUUUUCUUUUAAGAGAGACAAAUAGUCACACAUACAUCAGCAGGAGAGGAUACAAUUUCCUGUGUUUAAGUUUUUAUGAGUUACUUUAGUUCAAAUGUCACAGAAAAUUAUAUUGAACUCUUGACCAAUCUAUCUAUUUUUUCCAUUGGAGUAUUGACCCAAAUAAGAAAUAGCAUAAAGGAAAAAUUAUUUUUUGGCAGAAAAAUAUUCUCUCUAAAUUCUUGUGUGUUUUGUUUUGAUUUUUUCCUUAGUGACUGGAGGCCAGUUUCAAUCCACUGAAGCACAGAUUCCAAAUUUUCAAUCUGGUUUUCUUGAGUAGUGACUGAGUGCCAAAAAUGAAGCAAUGACACAACAUCACCAUCAAGACACUCCCCAGCACGCACACACAUGCCAGAGUCCAACACCAAGAUACUCCCCAGCACGCACACACACGCCAGAGUCCAGGCCAUAUUCGGGUGGCUUGCAAGCUUCUUCCCCCCAAGUAUUUACUCUCAAAAUAAUGGUUUUUGUUUUGUUUUGGUUUGGUUUGGUUUGUUUUUUUCCAAAUACAUUUCUUCCCUAUAUCUUUAACCAAUUCUCAUAAAAUUUUGUCUAAUACACUGGUCAGUGUAUUCCAGACCCUAAAAGAUAACAUAAUGAAACUAUCUAUGACUAAAAGGUAAUCAGGAUCUUCUACUUAUCCUUUUUUCCUCCCUCUUAAACUUUAAUUUUGAUACAUUUGGGAGUGAAAUGAUGACAAUAAAUGCAAAGUAAUUAUUGAAGAAACAGUAAUUUUGUAUUAGCUUACUGAAAAAAAAAAAAAAGAUAACCAAAUAUAUUUUGGCAGCCCCAAACGAGUCACAUGUGAAAUGCAGUGGGAGAGCAGUGUCCUGAAGGAAAAGGUGGCCUGCUGGACAGCCAAGAGAACAAACAUCCACUGCAAGUAAUAUGAGCUCUAAGUUUGGACUAGGCCUAUGUCUGCUCUGAGACUUGGGGCAAUUCACUUAAUCAGAGCCUUAAUCAGCUACGGACUAGCAAUAUCCAUACCCGCUACUUAUUUUGUAAAUCUCCUUUCUAAAGUUAACUCUAUUUAUUGUUCCAUAAUCCCAUAAAUUCUAGAAUCUUUUCCUGUUAUAGCCAAGUUGUCUAUCAUUGACAGAGAUAUUCACCUGGUUGUUUUGGCUUCUCUAAUCCUCCUGGUGAGAACACCUCCAAGGGAGCUUUCAGUGGCAUUUAAGGUCACUUGUGCUCUUGGUCCUAGAAACUGCCUUGAUAGUGGUUUUAGCUCACAUGAGGUAAGUCUUUAUUAUAUGCCCAACCUCUUUAUGCAUUACUUCAUUUAAUUGUAUACUAAUCCUUUGUCAUAGGUUAUCAGAGUGUUUGAUUAUAAGUUACAGGAAGAAAAAAAAAAACAAACUCCAAUUGACUAAAACAAUGGGGCAUUUUUUGACUCACAUAACAGAGAGUCUAGAGAGAAGGCACCUUCAGGUUUGGCUGAUGAAUCCUGUAUCUCUGCCUUGUCUCCAGGCCCCCAGGUUCUGCCUCUGUCCUGACAUCCAGUGUUGGAUUCCUCUUCACAUCAACUCCUCUCUAGCUGUGGCAAUUCCUUGAACCACACUGAUUGCUAUAAAGUGGAAGAGGAAUAGAUUGAAUUUUGGGGAGUCAACUACAAUGUGUACUACAGGAACAAAACCCAUCAGAAGAUGUCAGAAGAUAAGGAUUUUUGUCCUGAUGCUACACUUACCAGCUGUCCCUCAGUGUUCUACUUCUUAAAAAAAGAGAGAUGGAUAAACAGAGGCAACCCGAGGAUAAAGGCCUUGCUCAGUGUCACACAUUUCAGUCACUAAAUAAGACACAAUGGAUGCCAGUAUUCUCAUCCCCUCACAAAUAAAGAGCCUUCAAGCUCUUGCAGUCAACAAGAACUUUUGGAAUGAUUUCACUGCCUGAAAAGGCAGAUACAUAGGUGACACCCACAAAUAGGAAGAAAAUCAACCUGAACCUGAGUGUGUGGGCUCACUGACUCUAAGCAGUAGAGACAGAAGAAAAAGUUUUAGCAAAGAAGGGUUCUGAAAGAAAAUAAAUAUAGCUCGUUAUCAAGUGCUGUUUUUACACAGUAAAACAUGGGCAAAAUUACUCUUCUUUAAGUAGUAAUUCUUAUCUCUUGAUUAAGUCACCUACUCAUUCAUUUAAUAAAUACAUACUGAUUGUUUUCUAUGUGUUGAGCACUCAUCUCUGUAUUGGAAAUAUAAUAAUGACCAAAGUUGACAAUAGUAAUAACAAUAAUAGCUAAUAUAGCAGGCACUAAUAAUUAUUUGUUGAGUAAUAUGUCAAAAUUCAGUGUGAACAGCAUUCUAUUUGGGGCUGCAUCCACUGACUAUAACACAGCUAAUCUAUCUGAAAUGUUCCAGCUUUGGGCCUCUCUAACAGAAGAAGCUGUUGUUGGGCCUGCCUCUAGUUGGCGAUGCAUCCACCAAUGAGAAUGAAUUUAUGAUCGACCACUCUUCCUGUAAAGGCCGCUGGAACUGACAGCAUUGUGAUUUUCUUUUACUGUUAGUUUUAAAUUACUAGAACCAACUCAAUUACUAGAACGAACUUUACUUCUUUGUUUCCUACUUAUCAAAACAGUAAAAACAACAAGUAAAAGAAAUGCCAUCUUAAUAUUGUUUUGAUGACAAAACAGUAUUCCUUUUAGUUGUGCUUCAAAUGGAAUAAGAUGCAAACAGGCUUGGUAUGGUGGCUCACCCCUGUAAUCCCAGCCCUUUGGGAGGCCAAGGUGGAAGGAUUGCUUGAGGCCAUGAGUUUGAGACCAGCCUGCGCAACAUAGCAAGACCGUGUCUCUACAAAAAAUAAAAAAUUAGCUGAGUGUAGUGGUGUGUGCUUGUGGUCCCAGCUACUUUUGAGGCUGAGGAGGGAGAAUCUCUUGAGCCCAGAAGGUCGAAGUUGCAGUGAGCCGUGAUCGUGCCAUUGCUCUCCAGCUUGGACAACAAAGCAAGACCCUAUGUCAAAAAAUAAAUAAAUAAAAGACAUAAACAUAUCUGAGAUUAACUUUCAGUGGUAAAUUUGUUCCAUAUAUGAUUUUUAAGGUUAAAUGCUUUGGAAGCUUUAAAAACCAUUUCAGCCCUUUUAAAUGCCAACUUACACUGAUGAUGCUCUCAGAUGUUAGGAAAUCUUUUGAGCAGAAAAUGGAAGUGGGGGUGUUGAGGCAGGGAGGAGAGUGAUGCAAUAUUCCUUAGUGUCAUCCUGUGAUUUCACAAUUUGUUUUUCAAUCUGUUUGGACUUUCAAAAGGGAAGACUCUCAUAUGUCAACAAGCCCAUGAACUGAAGCUUAAAACACUGGAAACAACAACUGUAGAGUUUCAAGUAUAUGUACAUUUAUGUAUUCAUGUUCCUUGAUGGGAAUGCUGGCUGGUGUGAAUGUUCAAUCUCCUGAGAAAUGUAAAUUUUUCUCUGACAGAUUUAUUAGCUUGCUGUAUCUGAGCACAUGAGCAAAAACAAUGCCUAAUAAGAAAACUUUCUCUCUCCUUCAAAGUCAAACUUGGGAGAAAUGAAGGGAAAUCGAGUUUUCUUUGCUUGACAGUGUUCAACAUUCUUGUAGUCAGUGUGCUCAUGAAGAUUGCAAACUUUUUUUUUUUUUUAGAGCAGCUAGGACUACAGGCGCGCACCACCACACCCAGCUAAUUUGUGUAUUUUUAGUAGAGAUGGGGUUUUAACUAUGUUGGCCAAGCUUGUCUCAAACUCCUGACCUCAAGUGAUCCAUUCGACAGCUCUUUCUUUUUUUUUUUUUUUUUUGAGACAAAGUCUCGCUCUGUCACCCAGGCUGGAGUGCAGUGGUAUGAUCUCAGCUCACUGCAACCUCCGCCUCCUGGGUUCAAGCAAUUCUCAUGCCUUAGCCUCCCGAAU